rnacentral:rRNA from 1 species
CCUACGGGGGGCAGCAGUGAGGAAUAUUGGUCAAUGGGCGAGAGCCUGAACCAGCCAAGUCGCGUGAGGGUGUACUGCCCUAUGGGUUGUAAACCUCUUUUGUCGGGGAGCAAAAGCCGGACGUGUCCGGCUGUGAGAGUACCCGAAGAAAAAGCAUCGGCUAACUCCGUGCCAGCAGCCGCGGUAAUACGGAGGAUGCGAGCGUUAUCCGGAUUUAUUGGGUUUAAAGGGUGCGCAGGCGGAUUGUUAAGUCAGCGGUAAAAUCGUGGGGCUCAACCCCAUCCAGCCGUUGAAACUGGGGAUCUAGAGUGUGCGAGAGGUAUGCGGAAUGCGUGGUGUAGCGGUGAAAUGCAUAGAUAUCACGCAGAACCCCGAUUGCGAAGGCAGCAUACCGGUGCACAACUGACGCUCAGGCACGAAAGCGUGGGUAUCGAACAGGAUUAGAUACCCCGGUAGUC